AAAUUGGACUAGCCCUUAAGCUUUACACGCGUUAGACGAACGGUCUGGAAAGUCCGACGAUACAGGGUGAUAGUCCCGUAGUUGACGACGUGUGUUCAGUGAAAUCGAGUAGGGCGGGACACGUGAUAUCCUGUCUGAAUAUGGGGGGACCAUCCUCCAAGGCUAAAUACUACUGACUGACCGAUAGUGAACCAGUACCGUGAGGGAAAGGCGAAAAGAACCCCUGUGAGGGGAGUGAAAUAGAACCUGAAACC
rnacentral:rRNA from 1 species